AUGUGUAAGCAUGAGCCUCAAAAUGGUGAAGCCGCGAAUGGCUCAUUACAACAGCCAUUGUUUAUUUGAUCUAAUGGUUUUACAUGGAUAACUGUGGUAAUUCUAGAGCUAAUACACGCAUUUAUGCUCAGACCUUACGGAAUGAGCGCAUUUAUUAGAACAAAACCAAUCGGACUUCGGUCCGCCUUUUGGUGAAUCUGAAUACCUCAGCAGAUCGCAUGGUCUUUGCACCGGCGACGUAUCUUUCAAAUGUCUGCCUUAUCAACUUUCGAUGGUAGUUUAUGCGCCUACCAUGGUUGUAACGGGUAACGGAGAAUAAGGGUUCGACUCCGGAGAGGGAGCCUGAGAAACGGCUACCACAUCCAAGGAAGGCAGCAGGCACGCAAAUUACCCAAUCCCCGAACGGGGAGGUAGUGACGAAAAAUAACGAGACGGUUCUCUACGAGGUCCGUCAUCGGAAUGAGUACAAUUUAAAUCCUUUAACGAGGAUCCAUUGGAGGGCAAGUCUGGUGCCAGCAGCCGCGGUAAUUCCAGCUCCAAUAGCGUAUAUUAAAGUUGUUGCGGUUAAAAAGCUCGUAGUUGGAUCUGCGGACGUGGAGGACGGUCGCCUAAUCGGUGUACUGUCUUCCUGUCCUAUACUGUCUAGUUUUCCUUAGGUGCGCUUCACUGUGUGUCUAAGGUAGCUAGAAAGUUUACUUUGAAAAAAUUAGAGUGCUCAAAGCAGGCUUUUACGCCUGAAUAGUGGUGCAUGGAAUAAUGGAAUAAGACCUCGGGUCUAUUUUGUUGGUUUUCGGGGCAUGAGGUAAUGAUUAAGAGGGACAGACGGGGGCAUUCAUAUUGCGGCGUUAGAGGUGAAAUUCUUGGAUCGUCGCAAGAUGAACUACUGCGAAAGCAUUUGCCAAGAAUGUUUUCCAUUAAUCAAGAACGAAAGUUAGAGGUUCGAAGGCGAAUCAGAUACCGCCCUAGUUCUAACCGUAAACGAUGCUAACCAGUAAUCCGCCGGAGUUAUUUAAUGACUCUGCGGGCAACUCCCGGGAAACCAAAGUUUUUUGGGUUCCGGGGGUAGUAUGGUUGCAAAGCUGAAACUUAAAGGAAUUGACGGAAGGGCACCACCAGGAGUGGAGCCUGCGGCUUAAUUUGACUCAACGCGGGGAAACUCACCCGGCCCGGACACUGUAAGGAUUGACAGAUUGAGAGCUCUUUCUUGAUUCAGUGGAUGGUGGUGCAUGGCCGUUCUUAGUUGGUGGAGCGAUUUGUCUGGUUAAUUCCGAUAACGAACGAGACUCCGGCCUGCUAACUAGAACGUAUAUCAAUCAGUAUGCGAUACUUCUUAGAGGGACUAGGGGCUUCUAGCCUCACGAAAUGGAGCGAUAACAGGUCUGUAAUGCCCUUAGAUGUCCGGGGCCGCACGCGCGCUACACUGAAAGAUUCAGCAAGUUAUACCCUGGUUCGAAAGGACUGGGUAACCUUCUGAAACUCUUUCGUGAUUGGGAUAGAGAUUUGGAAUUAUUUCCCUUGAACGAGGAAUUCCUAGUAAGUGUGGGUCAUCAUCUCGCGUUGAUUACGUCCCUGCCCUUUGUACACACCGCCCGUCGCUACUACCGAUUGGAUGAACUAUUGAGUUAAACGGAUUGGUCCUUUGGUGGCUUUACGGCUGCCAUUGAGACCGAGAAGUAUAACAAAAAUGGUUUAUCUAGAGGAAGU
rnacentral:rRNA from 1 species